AGUGAACGCUGGCGGUAGGCCUAACACAUGCAAGUCGAACGGCAGCACAGUAAGAGCUUGCUCUUACGGGUGGCGAGUGGCGGACGGGUGAGGAAUACAUCGGAAUCUACUUUUUCGUGGGGGAUAACGUAGGGAAACUUACGCUAAUACCGCAUACGACCUACGGGUGAAAGCAGGGGAUCUUCGGACCUUGCGCGAUUGAAUGAGCCGAUGACGGAUUAGCUAGUUGGCGGGGUAAAGGCCCACCAAGGCGACGAUCCGUAGCUGGUCUGAGAGGAUGAUCAGCCACACUGGAACUGAGACACGGUCCAGACUCCUACGGGAGGCAGCAGUGGGGAAUAUUGGACAAUGGGCGCAAGCCCGAUCCAGCCAUACCGCGUGGGUGAAGAAGGCCUUCGGGUUGUAAAGCCCUUUUGUUGGGAAAGAAAAGCAGCAGGUUAAUACCCCGCUGUUCUGACGGUACCCAAAGAAUAAGCACCGGCUAACUUCGUG
rnacentral:rRNA from 1 species